rnacentral:rRNA from 1 species
ACUCCGGUUGAUCCUGCCGGACCCGACUGCUAUCAGAGUGGGACUAAGCCAUGCGAGUCGACACAGCAAUGUGUGGCAUACGGCUCAGUAACACGUAGUCAACAUGCCCAGGGGACG